AAAAAUUUCAGAGUUUCAGGUUAAGUCGUCGUUCUUUAGGUUUUGAGGUUAAGACACCAAAUUUUGGAGGGCGAUUGUUGCAAAUUGCUAAACGUUUCGGAACAGUGUUCGUUCUGAAGUAAUUAACACUUACUUGUCGAAUUGAAUGUUUGUAAAAUUUCUGAGCAUCUCCAGACUCGGCAUCGAAAAAAUAUACGGCAAAUUGAAUAAUCAACAAAAUCAUCUGGGAACUGUGCGAAAUAAAGUUACACACAAUAUUAUCCAGGGAUUAACAAAUUCAUUGUAAAAAUGUUUAAAAUAUGCCGAUAUAUUUUCCAAAGCUUUCCGCUGAAUAAAUUUCCAGGUCUUCGUAGUUUAGCCCUCAAUUCCUGCAGCGACAUUGCACAGGGUCAUACCGCUGGACUCAUUAUUAUCGGAGAUGAAAUUUUAAAGGCCCAAGUCAAGGAUACUAAUUCGUCAUUCAUGUGCAGGCUUUUAUAUGAGUGUGGCGUGAAAGUUAAAAAAAUAUCUGUGAUACCCGAUGACAUUGAUGUAAUCGCGAACGAAAUACGUGAUUUUUCGGAGAAGUACACGUACGUCAUUACUUCAGGAGGAAUAGGACCAACUCACGAUGACAUGACAUUUGAGGGAUUGGCGAAGGCAUUCAACGAUACAUUGCAUCAUCACCCAACAUUGGUGGAAAUUGUAAACAAAUUAUUAAAGCCACAAGCCCCAGACGCGCCGGGCUACAAAUUGGCACAUAUACCGAAGAAAGCCACUCUGAAAUUUGGCAUUGAUCCAAAAACUGGAAACUCCACGAAUUAUCCUUGCAUAGCCAUGAAAAACGUGUACGUUUUUCCAGGCUCCCCCGUAUUUUUGGAGUGCUCGUUCGGGAGUUUGUACAAGGAAUUAUUCAAGACUGAUCGAAAAUUCGUAAAAACUGAGCUCUUCGUUAACGCCAAAGAAGAUUGUUACGCCGCUGCGCUAACGAGGGUGGCAACAGAAUUUCCUCGAGUUACAUUUGGCUCUUAUCCAGUCAGUGACAGCGGUGUGGCAUACAAAGCAAGAGUUACGAUAGAAAGCGAAAACGAGUCUGAGACUAAUGAGGCGAGGGACAAAUUCGUCAGUCUGGUUCCUCCGGAAAUAUUAGUCAAAAUCGACGGUAUCUCUGGACCGCUGGCAUAAAGGAUUAUGAAGAAAAAACUGACUGUUGGCCUGAAAAAUUGAUUCGUGCGGAGCUCUUUGGUAUACUGAGGACAACUUUUUGAGGAGAACUCGUUCGGAAUAUCGAUGAGUCAACGGUGGUCUUUCCUACCCAGAAAGUUUCACGUAUAGGUCAGGGAACUCCAGGAGCAUUAUUGCAGUGUAGUCUUGAAUAGAGAACGUUCCAUAUUCCAUCGUUGAAGAGAGAAACGUUCGUGGAAUUCCAUGAGCAUUGCAAGUGUCGUCAUUGUUGAAGUUUGCCAAUUGUUUUUUUCCUUUCUCUUUUUUCUCGCUGUCCCGAAUGCCUGUCGAUAAUGGGGAUUGAUCGGACGGAUUGGAAAAAUAGAGAAUGGAAAAGGGUGGAGUGAAGAAAUAAUAUUGAAAAAACUACACGAAAACAUUCAAAUGGAAUAUUAUUCGUGCCUCUGGAAUUCGCAUUCAUACGUGACGUGCUUUCGGAUACCCUUGGGGAUAAGAAAAGGCACCGACUAAAGAUGAAGGUCAAAAGAAAAAUUGCCCGAUCCGUUCGCGACCCCCCGUAUGACCAGACUCUAAAAGGGAGAUGAGAAAAAAUUAGUCAAUGAGCGGAACAACCUCGGGCUGAAAUCCAUCCCCGCGCAGAUCUUCUCUUUCGCCUGUGCGCAUCAAGAAAUUCAUAAGGUAUUAGAGGAAUAACGACUCUGCGGAAAGUUAAUGAGAAUAAAGUGAGAGCUAAAUGAGGAAAAAAACGAUGGAAAUAUAUGGAAAGGCGCGCUUGGAUCGAAAUAAGUUGAAAGGAGGGAGAAACGAGCGCGGAAUGCUGGAAACGAUGAAAAUUGGAGUUUAAAGACUCGUGGAUAGGGCGCGGUACCCCGGAGCCAGGGGAACAGAAGAUAUGAAGAAAUAACCUUGUCUCUCUUUUGUCUGACGACAUGUACAUGCGAGGUUAUAUCCAUACACAUAUUUACAAGACAUAUCGUCGCUUUAAUAAAAUUCUCAUCUCCUUUUCCAUGAA
rnacentral:misc_RNA from 1 species